AGUGGCAAUCAUUUAUUAAGCAUUGCCCUGGCCUAAGACACCACAUGGGUCAUUUCUUCCAGGCUCCAACUUGCUUCUGCUUUGCCAUAUGGUAACACGCCGUAUUAUGGAAGCACCAUCAUUACCGCCAUUUGCAGGGGAAGCCUAAAGAGAUAAAUGCCAGCCAGCAUCCCUGUCUCUGGGGCCCUGGAGAGGCCUUCAACACACCUGGCCUCACUGCCCUGUGGCUUCAACAAAGAGGCCGAGCAUCUCCUAUAAACCUUGAGGUCCAUGGAUGACAUAGCGGAAUGAUGGAUUUCAGAAAAGGCAGGUGCUUCCCACUCUUUAAAUUUUUGUUUAUUCUUUCCAAGUUUCCCAUCAACAGCCCUGCAGUAAAAAUUCAGGGCUUCAGAGACAAAUAUUUCAUGAGUACAGACUGUGAUGAGGAAAAGCAAGCCAUUCCCUCUCUAUCAGGAUCCAGAGCACACUGCUGUUACGACUCCAGAACCGAUAAGGAAGCUAUGUGUGGAAGUAUGAGCUCAGGUCGCCUUCUGACCCUCUGUGACGGUCUAUUUCAGGCAGUUAUGGAUAGAUAACAUUACAGACACUGGGAUCUUUAACAAGUGACACAAACAAGAGAAGAAGCAGACAGGACCAUUUAACUUCAAACUCCACCGAAGAGAGCUGAAUUGUAAGCUUCCUACAGCAAGCCCGGCUGGCGGCUAUGUGGCAGUCUUCAUUUCUCAGCGGAAAAGCCACUCCCUUGAGACUCUCCAGGCACCCCCCAACCGCAUUUUUUAUCAAGUGUCUAAAAGAAAAACAAGAUGUCUGAGAAGGGGAAGGGAGCACCGUUUUCAUACCUGGCUUGGCUUAGCUGCACGAGAGAAGAAAAGGCCGUGGCUGAAUCCAUCUCCAGGAGCAGCUGUCCCCCUGCACCGUUUGAAUUGCGAGGAAAGAGUUACAGUUUUAGAAAAGAAUACCUGACACAAUGAACAAAAACCAGAGCUUUUGAAUACAGAUUUCCAGUAAAACCAAACCCAGCUUGGGUCAGAUGCACCUUUCCAGCAACCACCAUCUCAGCAACAACCUGCCAGCUGUCAACUGGAAGUUCAGCUUCUGGGAACUUCAGCCCCCUUCUCAGAGGAGCAAGGUCCUAGCACCAACAGCACCUGCAGUGGAGCCCAAGUAUGGCUGCUUCAUGGAGAAGGCAGGUAUCUGUUUGCGUGCAAAUCCGUGAGUGCUUGCAUCUCGUGUAUUUGAAAAUCCUGUUUAAGAAUGCAGAGGUCCAUAUAGUGUCAUUAAAACAAAUGAGUAUAACCCUUUGGUCA
rnacentral:lncRNA from 1 species